UCCUCAAAAUUCCACGUGCAC
rnacentral:siRNA from 1 species